UUGUUAGUGGGCUUGUUAUUUUUGUAUUUUUAUGGGAUAUAAUCAUACGGGUGAGGGUACAUGGUAGGAUAAAAUAAAAUGGGUAAAAACAAUAUUGGGGAGGGACGAAAUUAGGUGUCUACAUCAUCCCAAAACCUGGUGUCACAGUGUUAGAACCAUCUAAGUACAUCACAGAGUCAAAUAUACAACUAAUAGUCCAAAUGGUUAUAAUCUAUCUUUGAAUACGAAAACAAGACAUAAACUGAACAAGAAGAGGUAGUAGACCAACUUUAGAAGCAUAGAAUGACUGCUACCUCAAAGAUGCUCCAAAACACUACCUGAGUAAGCUACCUUGUGAGACCAUCGUAUUGGAUCUACACUGAAAGGGCAAAGUACGGGUGAGUAUGGUCUACUGUAC
rnacentral:lncRNA from 1 species